rnacentral:rRNA from 1 species
AUUGAACGCUGGCGGCAGGCUUAACACAUGCAAGUCGAGCGGGGUGAUGGUGCUUGCACUAUCACUUAGCGGCGGACGGGUGAGUAAUGCUUAGGAAUCUGCCUAUUAGUGGGGGACGACAUCUCGAAAGGGAUGCUAAUACCGCAUACGUCCUACGGGAGAAAGCAGGGGAUCACUUGUGACCUUGCGCUAAUAGAGGAGGCUAAGUCGGAUUAGCUAGUUGGUGGGGUAAAGGCCUACCAAGGCGACGAUCUGUAGCGGGUCUGAGAGGAUGAUCCGCCACACUGGGACUGAGACACGGCCCAGACUCCUACGGGAGGCAGCAGUGGGGAAUAUUGGACAAUGGGGAGAACCCUGAUCCAGCCAUGCCGCGUGUGUGAAGAAGGCCUUAUGGUUGUAAAGCACUUUAAGCGAGGAGGAGGCUCUUUUGGUUAAUACCCAAGAUGAGUGGACGUUACUCGCAGAAUAAGCACCGGCUAACUCUGUGCCAGCAGCCGCGGUAA